UUGGAAAUGUAUGUGAUAGAAAACGAUGCAAGCGGCGUAUUGAUCUACUGUGCUCAGUCAGCAGCAAGUAGAACCGACAAUGUAUAAGAUAGUGUUGUAAUACUGCGUGUACAAACCAGCCUGAAACAAAUAGUAGAAUUUUGAUAGCCCUUGCCCUCGUCCUAGCCAUGCAUUUGUGUGUUGACAGUCGUAGGAGUUUUGAUCGACGUAGCAACAGUAACUAAGCAAGGGGGCUUUGCGAACGUGCGCUGGGACAGCUGAUUCGCCAAACAGGCUCGCAGUCUGUGUUCUACCACAGUCCCCGACGUUAUUCUCAUAUCUCUCAUGAUUCUUUUUUUUUUUUCUAAAGAUGAGUUGAUUUUGUAACGAA